CGUAGGGUGCGAGCGUUAAUCGGAAUUACUGGGCGUAAAGCGUGCGCAGGCGGUUUGGUAAGACAGGCGUGAAAUCCCCGGGCUUAACCUGGGAACUGCGUUUGUGACUGCCAGGCUAGAGUACGGCAGAGGGGGGUGGAAUUCCACGUGUAGCAGUGAAAUGCGUAGAGAUGUGGAGGAACACCAAUGGCGAGGGCAGCCCCCUGGGUCGAUACUGACGCUCAUGCACGAAAGCGUGGGUAGCAAACAGGAUUAGAUACCCUGGUAGUCCACGCCCUAAACGAUGUCAACUAGGUGUUGGGAGGGUAAAACCUUUUAGUACCGUAGCUAACGCGAGAAGUUGACCGCCUGGGGAGUACGGCCGCAAGGUUA
rnacentral:rRNA from 1 species